UUGCGUCAUUGUCUACGUCAGUUGCCGUUGGUGCACGUUCGUCUGUUUGGUGGAUACAAGCCAUGGGUUCCAAUGCAAUGACGGGAGGCUGAUGGGUCCAACGAACAGGCCAAUCAACAACAAGAGCGGCCUCUGACAGAAGGGCUCCCAAAGCGUUGUUGUGGUUUCGUGGCCCAAACCCAACUUUCGUUUUAUUGAAAAUGAACUUCCGAAACGUCAAAAACAAAUGUAGUCCAGAAAAUAUAUUUCCCAUCAAACGCUCAACUUUGCAUACCAAAGAGAGCAUGAAACUGCAUCAUCAACGAGCCGGGUGAUCAGGUGCAGAGAUGAAUGAAGAGAUGAAAAGGAAGAGGAGCAUGAACAAACAAAUGACGCUCUGUGGAAUAAGUUGGUACCCCCUUUGGAUGAUAUGGACUGACUGAUUAUCAGUCUUAUGAACAGAGGUUAGCUGCUGUGUGUGUGCAGCAGACCUUGGCAUUAAUCACGUGGUGUGUCCCAAUGGAUCAAACAUUCAGCAGCGGUCGAUUCCUGGUGGAUCUCCUCUCCUCCUACACCUUGUUGCUUUGCUACACUGUUGACUACCACUUCCUCCCAUGUUCUCACAUUAGAUUUGGUAGAAAUAAGUGAACAUGAUGAAUGUAUGUUUAAGCGCUUUCAAUAAAUAAAUUAUAAUAAAUGCAGGCACAAGAGACAGAUAUUUGUCAGGACUCUCGACAGCUAUGUUGAAAGGUCACGAGUCCCUCUGUCUUCUCUUUUAUUCUCAUUCAGUCCGUCUCUAACAGCCUACUGAGCAGAUUAACUGCUGUUCCGCACUCUUUUAAGAUUGAUUUAGCUGGAUUCUCCGGGAUGUUCAAUGCCUUGGAAAUUGUAGUGAUACAAACCCGGGAAGCAAAUCCAGACUUUAAAAUGCUAGAUGUAAAACUAAGGUACAAACAUCUGGAAUACCAAGAAUAGGUAACCGUGGGCACACCUCUGCCUUUACUAGGUAAUGUCCUAGUGUAUCUUAUAUUAUUUAUUACUUUUGAUAAUCAGUGUAAAAAAGAACCCAUAAUAAAUCCCUUUUGAUUCAAUGUUGUAAAUCUGGCUAAACUCUCAGAAUUUGUAUGAUACUUUCUAUAGCUACUGUAAUUACAGGGACAUUAUUGUGUUAAGUGUAUUAGCCAGUGACUCGGUAAUGCACUAAUGACCAUAUUGUUCCAUUCCACAAUAAAACUAAUUUGCUCAAAGCUGUAUUAGACAAAACAGGAGCUGCUGAAUUGCUCUCAGAGCACAGCAGGUUGAACACAGGGUGCAGCAUACACUAAAGCCAGAUGGCAACCGCGGGUUAAUUGCUAAAUAAUCUUCCCAAACACUAGAUUGUGUGUGUGUUUUAGUUGUAAGCCAGUUUGU